CAGCCGCCGCGGUAAUACGUAGGGUGCGAGUGUUAAUCGGAAUUACUGGGCGUAAAGCGUGCGCAGGCGGUUGUGUAAGACAGGUGUGAAAUCCCCGGGCUUAACCUGGGAACUGCGCUCGUGACUGCACAGCUAGAGUAUGGCAGAGGGGGGUGGAAUUCCACGUGUAGCAGUGAAAUGCGUAGAGAUGUGGAGGAACACCGAUGGCGAAGGCAGCCCCCUGGGCCAAUACUGACGCUCAUGCACGAAAGCGUGGGGAGCAAACAGGAUUAGAUACCCGAGUAGUCCCUGUCUCUUAUAC
rnacentral:rRNA from 1 species